rnacentral:rRNA from 1 species
GUAAUACUCCAUAGUUCGUUAUUACUGGAAUGUUUUUCGAACGAAAGAUCCGUCGCUUCAGGAUGAGUCUGCGGCCGAUUAGGUUGUUGUUGGGGUAAUUGCCCAACAAGCCUGUAAUCGGUACGGGUUGUGGGAGCAAGAGCCCGGAGAUGGAUUCUGAGACACGAAUCCAGGCCCUACGGGGCGCAGCAGGCGCGAAAACUUUACCAUGCGGGCAACCGUGAUAAGGAAACCCCGAGUGCCAGCACAGGCUGGCUGUCCGCCAGUUUAAACAACUGGCGAAGAAAGGGCCGGGCAAGACCGGUGCCAGCCGCCGCGGUAAUACCGGCGGCUCGAGUGGUGGCCGCUAUUACUGGGCUUAAAGGGUCCGUAGCUUGAUAAUAGGGUCCCUUGAGAAAUCCGCCGGCUUAACUGGCGGGCGUUCAGGGGAAACUUGUUUUCUAGGGACCGGGAGAGGUGAGGGGUACUGCCGGGGUAGGAGUGAAAUCCUGUAAUCCCGGUGGGACCACCUAUGGCGAAGGCAUCUCACCAGAACGGGUCCGACAGUGAGGGACGAAAGCUGGGGGAGCAAACCGGAUUAGAUACCCGGGUAGUCCCAGCUGUAACUAUGUGCGUUAGGUGU